rfam:Triticum aestivum genome assembly, contig: Triticum_aestivum_CS42_TGACv1_scaffold_251359_3DL
CAACUACUCCCUCUGUCCCAAAUUUCUUGUCUUAGAUUUGUCUAGAUACUGAUGUAUCUAAUACUAAAAUGUGACUUGAUACAUCCGUAUCUAGACAAAUCUAAGACAAGAAUUUUGGGAUGGAGGGAGUACUUU